UUUCUCCUCCUUCUCCCCUCACUCGUAGUCUCGUCUUCGUCUACUCCACCACCACCAUCUCCUCUCCCUCUCGUCUUCCCUGGCGCGCGCGGCCGGCGAGCCGGCGAGCGGCGUCGCGGCGGUGAACUUCCUCGUCCUCGUCCCCUUCCCGACUCCCCGCCCCCCACCUAGCCUCCUCCCAAGUGAGGACUCCUCGCGCUCGCGCGCGCGCGGCCGGCGAGGGGCGACGCAGCCGGGGCCUCCGUCCUCUCGGCAGCACGAAUUGAAUUGGAGGUAGGUAGGCACAUUUGUAAAAAUGGGAGUUUACCUUAGUACCCCCAAAACCGAGAAGCUAUCUGAAGAUGGCGAAAAUGAUAAGCUUAAAUUUGGACUCUCAUCUAUGCAAGGAUGGCGUGCAACUAUGGAGGAUGCUCAUUCAGCUUUGCUAGAUAUCGAUAAUGACACAUCAUUCUUUGGUGUUUUCGAUGGACAUGGAGGAAGAGUGGUUGCUAAAUUCUGUGCAAAAUAUCUGCACAGAGAAGUUCUCAGAAGUGAGGCCUAUUCAGCAGGUGACCUGGGCAAUGCAGCCCAUAAAGCUUUCUUUAGAAUGGAUGAGAUGAUGCGAGGUCAAAGAGGCUGGCGAGAACUACAAGCACUUGGAGAUAAGAUAAACCAGAUUAGUGGCAUGAUAGAAGGCUUGAUCUGGUCUCCAAGAGGCAGUGAUUCAAAUGAUCAACACGAUGAUUGGGCUUUUGAAGAGGGGCCACACUCUGACUUUGCUGGGCCAACCUGUGGGAGCACAGCUUGUGUUGCAAUAGUAAGAAAUAGCCAACUUGUUGUCGCAAAUGCUGGUGAUUCCCGCUGUGUUAUCUCAAGGAAUGGUCAGGCAUACAAUUUAUCAAGAGACCACAAACCAGAGCUUGAAGCAGAGAGAGAAAGAAUACUAAAAGCAGGAGGGUACAUACAGAUGGGACGAGUAAAUGGAACUAUAAACUUGUCAAGGGCAAUUGGUGACAUUGAAUUUAAACAGAACAAGUUCUUGUCUCCUGAUAAGCAAAUGUUAACUGCAAACCCUGACAUCAACACAGUGGAGCUUUGUGAUGAUGAUGACUUUCUUGUUUUAGCAUGUGAUGGCAUCUGUUUCUUUGGCCAGAACUCAGAAGUAACCACCAUAUACUCUGACCACAAACAGGGACUGCAUGUCUAGCCAACAGCUGGUUGAUUUCAUCCACGAACACAUAAACACAGAGAGCAGCCUUUCUGCGGUAUGCGAAAGAGUGCUAGAUAGAUGCCUGGCUCCAUCAACUUUGGGUGGAGAAGGAUGCGACAACAUGACAAUGAUCCUAGUGCAGUUCAAGAAGCCAAUUAGUCAGAACAAGAAUGUCAGUCCUGCGGAACAAUCAGCUGCCGACAAACAACCAACUGGAGACACACAUUGGUCUGAGAUUCAUGUGACCGAGGAGAGUAGCUCGUGAUGUUCUAGCCCGAUAAAACCGGUACACCAAAGAACACCCAGUGUAUCCUGAUGCGAUAUCGCAAUUGGCUAAACAGGCAUAAUUCACGAAAUUUCGGUGUACAUACCAGCCUCGUUAAAUUGUUGACACAGCGUUUACACCCGUGGCCAUUCAUGUUCUGCUGCAUUAGCAGCCAAUCAGUUUGUUAUUCUCCAAAGCUCCAGUUUGUAAUUUCCGGUUGUGAUUUCAUCUCACCAAUCCUCUUCUAACUACUGUACAAGUGUACAUUUUGGUGGAAAUGAGUUACCUGUUGAGUGUACUAACCACUCGUAGUGGUGCUGUGCUC